UCAGAGGGUCGGGCGACCGCCGCGUGAGCAAUUGCGGGGAGGAAAGUCCGGGCUCCAUAGAGUGAAGGUGCCGGGUAAUUCCCGGCGGGUCGGGGAGUAGUCUCCGGUCAAGGGACAGUGCCACAGAAAACAAACCGCCACAGGUUUCCGGACCUAAAGCUUCGGCGUGGCAAGGGCGAAACGGUGCGGCAAAAGCGCACCGCGCGACGGGCAACCGUAGCGGCAUGGCAAACCCCACCUGGAGCAAGACCGAAUAGGGACGGCAUAUGGGCCUGCUCGGCUCUGUCGUCCGGGUUGGUUGCUUGAGGCCAUGCGCAAGUGUGGCCCUAGAGGAAUGGUCGCACAUCACGCGCAAUCGUGAAGACAGAACCCGGCUUAUAGACCCUCUGACAAU
rnacentral:RNase_P_RNA from 1 species